CUUUUUACACGAUGCUUGUAUUUUAGUACCCUAAAAUAAUAUAACCAAGUCAAAAUUUAAUAUACUUUAAACAAUGGAAUAAAAAAAUUAAACAUGACCACAAAUAUAUAAACAACACUACAAUUACAUGUGCAUCCGAAAGAAUUAAUUCCAAUGAAUCACCAUCAAUUUUAUUCCAUUGUCUCCAUGAGUGGAGAACCUUGACUUGUACACGCCAAGCAGUCUUUUUCGGUUUGACAUCUUUCAAGAAGGUGAUUUGCAUAUUGUUAACCAUUAUUUUAGGAAUCGUUAAGCUGUUUGUUUUUGUGGUGAGUUUAAAUUCGAUAGAGUAUGGCGAAAGGGUUGAGAGGAUGUCUGUAUAAAUAACAUUUGGCUAGGAAUGACGAUGUAGGUUAAGAUCAAAUUUUGUAAGUAUGCAAGUUACCGAAAAUCUUGGAUGAAUAUUUAUUUUCCAAUCGCUUAGUUAUUUUAGGUGAGAGAUUUAAGGUAAAUUCACGCCUAUGACCGUAUCUAAUAGACUUGUAGAGGAAGUCAUUUAGAUUUUUUUCUGUUAGAUAAUAGUAUAUUCUCAAUAAUUAUUUAUUCUUUUUGUUAGAUCGACUUAGGAUAUUCUAAGAGUAUCGAAUAUUUAUUUUAGUUGAGAGAUCUUAGGUAAAGUGUUAAAUUGGCUGUAGUAAGAUUUAAGACGGUGUACAAUUUAACACGGUUAAUUAUGAAAUAAAAAACAAAAGAUUUUACUCAGAAUCAAAUAAGGUAGAACCUCCCCCACUUUAAUAAUAUUCCACGAUUACGUAGAAAUGUAUCUAUGCACGCAUCUAUACUAUUAAAAUGCACAAGACAAACACAGGCUUCGAAUCAAUCAAUACUAUUAAGAGCAUCCAAAUUUGACACUUUCUGAUUGACUUUCUGAUUAAGAUUUUCUAAAAGAUAUAUUACUGCUAACAUCAAUAUAUAAAUCAACCUUCAUACUCGUUUAGUAGCUUUAAAACAUAUCAUUUCGACACAUGCAAGAAUCAAAAUAUUCAAAUGAAUAAGACAAACAAUAACUAAUUUUGCACAUAUCAAGAAGCAUGCAAAAAAAGCAAAGAAUAACUUCUGUUUUGAAAUGACAACACCUUUCAACCACAGCCUUUUUUUGCUUUGCAUGUGACCUCAAUAAUCGAUUACUAUCAGACCAUUUUCCAAGUUCUCGCUAUAUAAAUCCCAUCCUCAAAACUUCCAACAUUACCUUCAUAGCUGAGUUAGCAUAGAUUGAGAGUAAAAACCAGAUAAUAAAAAAAACAGAGCAUCCAACUUUGACACUCUCGUGAAGAUGGGCUCAGAAAAUUCUGUCAACAAUUACAUUUCAAUUAGUGAUUCCUCUGACACCGACGUCGUACACAAAGAAAAACACAAAGGACUCUUUCAUCUACGCCAAUCAGCCACUCUAAACAAUACAAAUGGACCAGUACUAUGUAAAUAUGGUCAACCUUAAGCCAGGGAGAAAGUGCGAUCCCAAUAACAUGGCUAAAGUAUGCAAGCAUUGUUACUACUCCAAAAGGCUUAAACAGUUUGUUGAGUUUGCUCUGUUUAAUAACUAAAAAAAAGGCGUGUCUGUGCAUGCAUGUAAAAAUAAACAUGAUUUUUCAUGUUUAUUUAUCCUUACGUCCUAAAUUUUAAUUUGCUACUUUGCAUGUCAUGCAAUCUUUUUCUUGGUUAUUUGUGCAAUGUUAAGUGUUUUUUUGUAAGUAUAAGUGUUGAUUUCUCGGAAAACACAUCUCGUGCUCUUAGUUUAAGUUAUAAACUCGGUUCCUAAUAAUAUUGUGUUUGCUAACACAUUUGCUCUAUAAAUGUGUUCAUAAUUAAAUAGGAUAAAAGAAACUUACACGAUUUUAAAAUAGAUACUUUGCAAUAUUCUCAAUGUAGUUGGCAAUAUAAUUAGUUAUCACGUUUUAAGGAGACUUAGAUGCAAUAUAAUAUAAUUAACAGACACGUAAAAAUAAAGUACUUUUCGAGAUUAAGCUUGCAAUUAUUAAAC